rnacentral:rRNA from 1 species
GGAAGUAAAAGUCGUAACAAGGUCUCCGUAGGUGAACCUGCGGAGGGAUCAUUACUGAGUGAGGGCCUUCGGGCUCGACCUCCAACCCUUUGUGAACACAACUUGUUGCUUCGGGGGCGACCCUGCCGUUUCGACGGCGAGCGCCCCCGGAGGCCUUCAAACACUGCAUCUUUGCGUCGGAGUUUAAGUAAAUUAAACAAAACUUUCAACAACGGAUCUCUUGGUUCUGGCAUCGAUGAAGAACGCAGCGAAAUGCGAUAAGUAAUGUGAAUUGCAGAAUUCAGUGAAUCAUCGAAUCUUUGAACGCACAUUGCGCCCUUUGGUAUUCCGAAGGGCAUGCCUGUUCGAGCGUCAUUUCACCACUCAAGCCUAGCUUGGUAUUGGGCGCCGCGGUGUUCCGCGCGCCUCAAAGUCUCCGGCUGAGCUGUCCGUCUCUAAGCGUUGUGAUUUCAUUAAUCGCUUCGGAGCGCGGGCGGUCGCGGCCGUUAAAUCUUUCACAAGGUUGACCUCGGAUCAGGUAGGGAUACCCGCUGAACUUAAGCAUAUCA